AAUAAAAUUCUCUUUUCUAAGUUUUCCUUUGUUUUUCACCAGCCAAGUUUCAGAACACAACUGGAGUUCCUUGAGACAGUAUUAUACCCAGAUAUUGUUGUGACUCCCAGACAACACUUCCUGGCAUUGAAUUACACUGGAUCAGGAACUGUUUUGUUCCCAAAGAUACCACAAUUUACUCCAGGAACAUUGACUAUUAUUCUGGUAAGCUUCAGUAUAAGUUAUUCUCUAAACUUGACUUGCUGUAUCUCAUUUCUAGUUGUUCAUGAGGUCAUUUUUCAUCUUUCUUCUGCAUCUAGAAAAUAUGCUUGCACUUAGUAGGCCCAUAAUAAAUAUAUUGUAUUGAAGCUUCAAAACAAAGAAAUCUUAAAUGUAAAAUUUUAAAGUUACUAGAUAUGAUUGAAUAUAAUUUAUAUUUAGCAUGGUACAAGUCAGUGGAGAGGAAGAAAAUAUGAUGGAGUAUAAGGUUAAAGAUAAUAUAGUUUGCUUAGAGGACUUUAGAGAGUCUAUAAGUUUAAUUUUAAAAUUAUUAAUUUAGAUAAAGUUGAAGGAUAUAAGAUAAACCCACAAAAUUACAAAUCUUUCCAUAUAUUACUACCAAAUUCCAGGAGAAAAAUGUAGAAAAAUAAAUUCUAUUCAAAACAACUCUAAAAUAUAUAAAUGAUAUGGUAAUUAAAAGCAUUUAAGAGACACUCAGUACCUAUGUGGAUACAACUAUGAAAUACUCUUUACAGAAAAAAAAGGAAGACAACAAAUUGAAGAGAGAUUAAUUGCUCAUGGUUAGUCUGUGCUUACAAUAUGUAAAUAAAACAAUUCUAAAUUAAUUGAUAGAAUUAAUGCUGUGCCAAACUACCAAGGUUUAUUUUGAAUAAUUAGAUAAAAUUAAGUUUGAAAAAUUCUCUUGGAAGUAUAAAAGGUCAAGAAUCAAAGGGAAACUAGUGAAAAAAGGAGAAGUGAAGGGAAUUUUAGUAAGUUUUUCCUGAUAAAGUUCUGAUAUUGGAAGAGAAUUGAUACAAAUAUCUUAGAGCAAGAGUCAUUCUCCAUUAAAUAAGUAGUCUAAAGGAAAAAAAAAAAUAGAUGUUUUUCACUUGUCAAAAUAAGGCACCAAAACUGUCAUUCCCCCCUUGGUUGUCAUUGAUCAUUAUGUCAAUGAUCAUUAUGAUUAUUAUGUUUAGCUGAGGUCUUUAUUCCUUAUUAGACUUGACUUCCCUCCAACUCUCAUUGACUCUUACCAAUCAAGUUCUG
rnacentral:lncRNA from 1 species